AGAUGCGGUCAUACCAGCACUAAAGCAACGGAUCCCAUCAGAACUCUGAAGUUAAGCGUGCUUGGGCGAGGGGUGACCUCCUGGGAAGUCCUCCUGUUGCAUUCU
rfam:Brachypodium distachyon strain Bd21 chromosome 4, whole genome shotgun sequence.